rnacentral:rRNA from 1 species
GAUGAACGCUGGCGGUAUGCCUUACACAUGCAAGUCGUACGAGAGUUUUUAACUCAAGUGGCGGACGGGUGAGUAACACGUAAGAAUUUGCCUUUAGGAGGGGGACAACAACUGGAAACGGUUGCUAAUACCCCAUAUGCUUUCGAGUGAAAUGGAUUUCCGCCUAAAGAGAAGCUUGCGGCUGAUUAGCUUGUUGGUGAGGUAAUGGCUCACCAAGGCGACGAUCAGUAUCUGGUUUGAGAGGACGAUCAGACACACUGGAACUGAGACACGGUCCAGACUCCUACGGGAGGCAGCAGUGGGGAAUUUUCCGCAAUGGGCGAAAGCCUGACGGAGCAAUGCCGCGUGGAGGUAGAAGGCCCACGGGUCGUGAACUUCUUUUCUCGGAGAAGAAGCAAUGACGGUAUCUGAGGAAUAAGCAUCGGCUAACUCUGUGCCAGCAGCCGCGGUAA